AACUUUUGCCGUCCCUAGUCGAAACUGUUUUUUAAUGUUUAGGGACAAAAUAGGUAUUCUGAAAUUUAACGGAAUACUCGCUCGGCAGUCGGCACUAGCGCCUUGGUCUCUUUUGCUUCGAAAAUUUUUAAUUUUCGCGGAAAAUCUCCAGAGAUAAUGGAUGGCAAGGUAGAAAUCUCCCUGACAAGCUCCCCAUCAAGUGUAUGCAAGCCAUAGAAGAAAACGGCUACGAACGCUUCCCUACAUACGCUUCUUUCUUCCCUUUAUUCUCACUCCUUUGGCUUCUCAUAAAUACAUUAUACAGAUUUUAAGCUAUUAACAUUUGCAAAUAUCAUUUUCCUUUCUUUUUUUCCACUCCUUUCUCAGUUUCCAAAUGGAUAAUUGAGGGCAAUUUCGUUUUCCUGCUUAAAUCCGUUGUGAUUAUGUGUAAAUAAAAGCAAAGUUGGGUCAGAAUUUAAGCCCUAAUGAACAUAGUUUAAAUGGAGAUAAAUAUACAUAUUUCCCCAUUUAUUACAGCUUGCUAAACGGAACUCUCUAUUCAUAUAUUACUUUAUGGAGAAGUAGAUUCAAACUAGUGUUUAUUCGUUGUUUUGGGCUACAGUGAUAUUGGAUAUGAUGAGAAGAAAGUAUCAGUGAUUCGCUGAAUGCUUUUGCGUGGGCAGUUGAGAAAGAAGACGAGGAAAAGAAGAAGCAGAAGAAGAGCUGAAAGGAGAGCUCCUCUACAUCAUGGCCAUGGCAGAGCAUGGUGGAGAACUUUCAGUUAGCUCAUCAGGAGCUCUCUGUCAUUAUAGAUCUCAUCAAUACUGUGAGAGUUACUCACUUCACAUGUGGAAGCUAAUGAUGCUCUAACAGUCAUGACCGGGCCAAAGCUUGCUCAGUGAGCAUCUAGCUGACCUUGCUGUGUCUACAGCAACAAAGCUACAAUGCUAUUGGGUACAUUACUCUGUCUCUUGCUCUUUUCCUUUUCUGGUUGGGGACGGAGGUGUGCAGUAUCUUGGUAUAUAUUUUAAGCAGUCUGCCAAAGCCUUGGAACAGCAAGUUGCAAGGGAAGCAAGAUUUUAUGGUGCUUUAAUCAGGUUGCCAGCCAGUUUAUUCACUGGCUUCAUGAGGAAGCUCUUAAGGUGCAAAUAAAAGCAAGCUGUGACUUUCUAUGCUUGUCAUUUGAGUUAGGGCAGGGUGAAGUACUGAGCCUGGUGGCACGUGUGGUCCCCGAAGAUGCUGAAGGGUGCGUGCCGUGGUGGUUAGCAACGGAAGAUGGUUUUGCGAGAGGAGAAGAAACUUCAUAUGAACAUUACAGAUGGAGCAUCUGAAUAUAGGAAGUUCUUGGGGUAUUUACCUCUUGAUGUCAUGUACUCAACUCUUGUGAAUCUAGUUUGUUUGUGCAGUGGUGGGAGCCAUUGACAACAUUAUUUCUUGCACUAGUUUGAUUGGAGAUGAUCCAGGGACCACCCUACAUGUAAUAUUUUCCUUUUUUUUUUUUUUUUUUGUGAAAUGUGAUUGUUUUGUUAGUGUAGUACAGAUUGCAGUCGCAUAGAUUAGCAAAUGGUGCCUUUUUGUUGUCAUUUUCAUUGCUGUUGGCGAUGAUAAUGAUAAAUACAAUCAGAAUUCUCAAGGAUAUAACUAAUCAAAUUGUAAAAUUUUAAUUUUUCCCUAAA